rnacentral:rRNA from 1 species
UACGUAGGCAGCGAGCGUUGUUCGGAGUUACUGGGCGUAAAGAGUGCGUAGGCGGUUUUCUAAGUUUGGUGUGAAAUCUCCCGGCUCAACUGGGAGGGUGCGCCGAAGACUGGAAGGCUUGAGUAUGGGAGAGGUAAGCGGAAUUCCUGGUGUAGCGGUGAAAUGCGUAGAUAUCAGGAGGAACACCCGUAGCGAAGGCGGCACUCUGGGCCGAUACUGACACUGAGGAGCGAAAGCGUGGGGAGCGACCAGG